UACAGAGACUGCAAGCGUUAUUCGGAUUCACUGGGCGUAAAGGGCGCGUAGGCGGCCACUGCAAGUCAGUUGUGAAAUCUCCGGGCUUAACCCGGAAAGGUCAACUGAUACUGCAGGGCUAGAGUGCAGAAGGGGCAACUGGAAUUCUCGGUGUAGCGGUGAAAUGCGUAGAUAUCGAGAGGAACACCUGCGGCGAAGGCGGGUUGCUGGGCUGACACUGACGCUGAUGUGCGAAAGCCAGGGAGCGAAGCGGG
rnacentral:rRNA from 1 species